AAAUUGCCCAGGCACAGUGGCUCAAGCCCGUAAUCCCAGAACUCUGGGAGGCUGAGGCAGGUGGAUUACAAGGUCAGGAGAUUGAGACCAUCCUAGCUAACACGGGGAAAGCCCAUCUCUACUAAAAAUACAAAAAAUAGCCGAGUGUGGUGGCGGGCGCCUGUAGUCCCAGCUACUCAGGAGGCUGAGGCAGGAGAAUGGCGUGAACCUGGGAGGUGGAGUUUGCAGUGAGCCGAGAUCAAGCCACUGCACUCCAGCCUGGGUGACAGGGCAAGACUCUGUCCCAAAAAAAAAAAAAAAAAAAAAAAAAAAGACAAAACAAAAACCAGAAAAAAGAGAAAAUACAUUCCAGAAAGACCCUCAGAUAUCAGGUAGUUUUCUUAGAACAUAACCAAAUAUUAAUUCUGCCCUGGUGUCAGACUGCUUGGGUUCUAAUCCUGGCUCUGCCACCUUUGUGAACUUUGGCUUCAAGUUUCUCUGUGCCUCAGUUUCCUCCUCUACAAAAUGAGGAAUAACAAUAGUAUUUACUUCAAUGAGUUGUUAGUUUAAAUAAGCUGAUAUAUGUCAAGUUCAUAGAAACGUGCCCCUGGCAUAUUAUAUGUAUUCAAUAAAUGUUAGUUAUGAUUAACAAAAAAUAGUUUUGAGUACUUUUUAUAUAUAGGCAGAUUCUGGGUUUUGUGUAACCCAUUCUAGGAGUCAGCCUUGCCCUAAAUGGUGGCUCAUGCCUGUAAUCCCAGCUACUUAAGAGGCUGAGGCAGGAGGAUUGCUUGAGGCCAGGAGUACCAGACUAGAAGUCAGUCUCCCUCCUCUCUCUCUCUUUCUCUCUUUAUAUGUGAAACUUUUCUUGAAGCUGUGUAGAAAAGGUCGAAUCAACUGCUCUUUUCCAUUGAUACUGGAACCAGACAGAAGCUGAGAUUGUAUUAGUGGGCAUUUAAGUAAGAAUUUAGAACUUUCUGCAUUCUAUCAGUUACUCCUGUCUGUAAUGCCAGAUGAGAAACUUUUUCAGCAACUUUUUUUCUUAUCAUCUUUGGAAAGGUUUGUGGUAGCAUGUUAGCUUUGUAGAGCCAGCUGGCUUCCAAUCUGGGUUCCUCCACUGCUAUCUAUAAUGAGUUUAGACAAAACUACUUAAAAUUACCUAGUCUUAAUUUUCUAAAUUGUAAAGUAGGGUUAAUAAUAUUCACCUGUAAGGGUUGUUGUGCGUCUAAAUGCAAUAAUAUAAAAAGUACUUGGUAUGGAAACACUAAAUAAAAAUUACUUCUCUUGCUAUCUUUUUAGAAGAUAUUUUAAAGUAGUUAAAAGGAAAUGAACAAGAUCAUUGAUUGCCAAACUUAGUUAUGAACUGAAAUUAUAUGAGAACCUUUCAAAGAAUAUGGAACUGGCUGGGGACAGUGGCUCAUGCCUGUAAUCCCAGCACUUUGGGAGGCUGAGGCGAGCAGAUCACCUGAGGUAGGGAGUUCAAGACCAGCCUGACCAACAUGGAGAAACCCCACCUCUAUUAAAAAUAUAAAAUUAGCUUGGCAUGGUGGCGCAUGCCUGUAAUCUCAGCUGCUCAGGAGGCUGAGGCAGGAGAAUCGCUUGAACCCGGGAGGCGGACGUUGUAGUGAGCCAAGAUUGCGCCAUUGCACUCCAGCCUUUGCAAUAAGAGGGAAACUCCGUCUCAAAAAGAAAAAAAGAACAUGGAACUGCUGAUUCAGAAUCUCCAAAGUAUAGCCUACAAACCUGUAUUUUUUAGAAAACUCUCAUAAUUCUGA
rnacentral:lncRNA from 1 species